CGACAGGCUUAACACAUGCAAGUCGAGGGGCAGCACAGGUAGCAAUACCGGGUGGCGACCGGCGCACGGGUGAGUAACGCGUAUGCAACUUGCCUAUCAGAGGGGGAUAACCCGGCGAAAGUCGGACUAAUACCGCAUGAAGCAGGGAUCCCGCAUGGGAAUAUUUGCUAAAGAUUCAUCGCUGAUAGAUAGGCAUGCGUUCCAUUAGGCAGUUGGCGGGGUAACGGCCCACCAAACCGACGAUGGAUAGGGGUUCUGAGAGGAAGGUCCCCCACAUUGGUACUGAGACACGGACCAAACUCCUACGGGAGGCAGCAGUGAGGAAUAUUGGUCAAUGGCCGAGAGGCUGAACCAGCCAAGUCGCGUGAGGGAUGAAGGUUCUAUGGAUCGUAAACCUCUUUUAUAAGGGAAUAAAGUGCGGGACGUGUCCCGUUUUGUAUGUACCUUAUGAAUAAGGAUCGGCUAACUCCGUGCCAGCAGCCGCGGUAAUACGGAGGAUCCGAGCGUUAUCCGGAUUUAUUGGGUUUAAAGAGUGCGUAGGCGGCCUUUUAAGUCAGCGGUGAAAGUCUGUGGCUCAACCAUAGAAUUGCCGUUGAAACUGGGGGGCUUGAGUAUGUUUGAGGCAGGCGGAAUGCGUGGUGUAGCGGUGAAAUGCAUAGAUAUCACGCAGAACCCCGAUUGCGAAGGCAGCCUGCCAAGCCAUGACUGACGCUGAUGCACGAAAGCGUGGGGAUCAAACAGGAUUAGAUACCCUGGUAGUCCACGCAGUAAACGAUGAUCACUAGCUGUUUGCGAUACACUGUAAGCGGCACAGCGAAAGCGUUAAGUGAUCCACCUGGGGAGUACGCCGGCAACGGUGAAACUCAAAGGAAUUGACGGGGGCCCGCACAAGCGGAGGAACAUGUGGUUUAAUUCGAUGAUACGCGAGGAACCUUACCCGGGUUUGAACGCAUUCGGACCGAGGUGGAAACACCUUUUCUAGCAAUAGCCGUUUGCGAGGUGCUGCAUGGUUGUCGUCAGCUCGUGCCGUGAGGUGUCGGCUUAAGUGCCAUAACGAGCGCAACCCUUGCCACUAGUUACUAACAGGUAAAGCUGAGGACUCUGGUGGGACUGCCAGCGUAAGCUGCGAGGAAGGCGGGGAUGACGUCAAAUCAGCACGGCCCUUACAUCCGGGGCGACACACGUGUUACAAUGGCGUGGACAAAGGGAAGCCACCUGGCGACAGGGAGCGAAUCCCCAAACCACGUCUCAGUUCGGAUCGGAGUCUGCAACCCGACUCCGUGAAGCUGGAUUCGCUAGUAAUCGCGCAUCAGCCAUGGCGCGGUGAAUACGUUCCCGGGCCUUGUACACACCGCCCGUCAAGCCAUGGGAGCCGGGGGUACCUGAAGUCCGUAACCGCGAGGAUCGGCCUAGGGUAAAACUGGUGACUGG
rnacentral:rRNA from 1 species